GCGGCUGUGGCGCAGUUGGUAGAGCGGGUUGGCUACUAAUCCUAGGAUUGGGUUCGAUUCCCGGCCCACGUA